UACAGAGACUGCAAGCGUUAUUCGGAUUCACUGGGCGUAAAGGGUGCGCAGGCGGCCGUGUGUGUGAGGCGUGAAAGCCCGAUGCUUAACAUCGGAAUUGCACCUCAAACUACACGGCUAGAGCAUUGGAGAGGGUAGCGGAAUUCACGGUGUAGCAGUGAAAUGCGUAGAUAUCGAUGAGGAACACCAGAGGCGAAGGCGGCUACCUGGACAAUUGCUGACGCUCAGGCACGAAAGCGUGGGGAGCAAAAGGG
rnacentral:rRNA from 1 species